AGAAUUGAUCUGGUCAGGAUUAACGCUGGCGGCGUGCCUAAUACAUGCAAGUCGAAUGGUAGUAGCAAUACAAACCAUGGCGAACGGGUGAGUAACACGUAGGCAACCUGACUUUAAGACGAGGAUAACCGUUGGAAACGACGGAUAAUACUGGAUAGGACAUCAGAAAGGGCAUCCUUAGAUGUUUAAAGGUUAUUAUGCCACUUAGAGAGGGGCCUGCGGCGCAUUAGCUAGUUGGUGAGAUAACAGCCCACCAAGGCGAUGAUGCGUAGCCGGACUGAGAGGUUGAACGGCCACAAUGGAACUGAGAACGGUCCAUACUCCUACGGGAGGCAGCAGUAGGGAAUUUUCGGCAAUGGGCGCAAGCCCUGACCGAGCAACGCCGCGUGAACGAAGAAGUUUAUUCGUAAUGUAAAGUUCUUUUAUCUGGGAAGAAAAAACAAAUUGACGGUACCAGAUGAAUAAGCUCCGGCUAACUACGUGCCAGCCGCCGC
rnacentral:rRNA from 1 species